UGAACGCUGGCGGCGUGCCUACUACAUGCAAGUCGAGCGAACAGAUGAGGAGCUUGCUCCUCUGACGUUAGCGGCGGACGGGUGAGUAACACGUGGAUAACCUACCUAUAAGACUGGGAUAACUUCGGGAAACCGGAGCUAAUACCGGAUAAUAUAUUGAACCGCAUGGUUCAAUAGUGAAAGACGGUUUUGCUGUCACUUAUAGAUGUAUCCGCGCCGCAUUAGCUAGUUGGUAAGGUAACGGCUUACCAAGGCAACGAUGCGUAGCCGACCUGAGAGGGUGAUCGGCCACACUGGAACUGAGACACGGUCCAGACUCCUACGGGAGGCAGCAGUAGGGAAUCUUCCGCAAUGGGCGAAAGCCUGACGGAGCAACGCCGCGUGAGUGAUGAAGGUCUUCGGAUCGUAAAACUCUGUUAUUAGGGAAGAACAAAUGUGUAAGUAACUAUGCACGUCUUGACGGUACCUAAUCAGAAAGCCACGGCUAACUACGUG
rnacentral:rRNA from 1 species